ACGGGAGGCAGCAGCUAAGAAUAUUCCGCAAUGGACGAAAGUCUGACGGAGCGACGCCGCGUGGAUGAUGAAGGCCGGAAGGUUGUAAAAUCCUUUUAAGUGUGAAGAAUAAGUAGAAGAAGAGAAUGCUUCUAUGGUGACGGUAGCACUUGAAUAAGCAACGGCUGAUUACGUGCCAGCAGCCGCGGUAACACGUAAGUUGCGAGCGUUGUUCGGAAUUAUUGGGCGUAAAGGGCAUGUAGGCGGUUUUGCAAGCUUGAUGUGAAAGGCAGGAGCUUAACUCCUGGACUGCGUUGAGAACUGCAUGACUAGAGUCACUGAGGGGCAAUCAGAAUUCCUGGUGUAGGGGUGAAAUCUGUAGAUAUCAGGAAGAAUACCAAUGGCGAAGGCAGGUUACCAGCAGAUGACUGACGCUGAGGUGCGAAGGUGCGGGGAGCAAACAGGAUUAGAUACCCUGGUA
rnacentral:rRNA from 1 species